GAUUCGCUGGAAUACCAGAAGGGUUCGCUGGUGUCUCUCUCAUUAAACUUGUGUCUGGCUGGAGGCCAUGUGUCUUGUAAGGGUUGUGCCUUUGUCAUGCGUGGGAAUGGCUGGUUUUAAGUCGGAGACACCGCCCUAUCACACUUGUGCCGACUUGGGAUGUGGAAAACACCAAAGGUGACGUGCGACUCACGCGCUUCGAAGUACGCUGGGGGUGUCCAGUCGGUAUUCCGGAGGAGGACAGCGGCAGCAGCAGCAGGUUUUCAAGUCCGGCCUCUUAAUGUGAAUCUAAUUCCCACUUGUUAGCAUGGCUCGUUACCACUCUCAGUCUACCACAGGAGACAUUUCUAAUGCUGUAGAUUUUCUUAUUCAGCGAACACUAUUAAAAUGUUCUGUGGGCUGGAGCAGGUCAGUAUAUCUCAAUCUGUCAUUUUUUUCUCUGUGAUUUCUUUCCAGAUAUUUUAUUGACGAGGAUCUCCGCUGUACGGGUGCCUUAUCCUGGCCUGUUUCCACCCUUUUCCCCGUUCGCCUGGGUUAGACAUUUCUAUCCUCAACUGCGAAUUAUGUUAUGUGGGUUUGAGGAUUUUCUUGGCGAACGGGACCAAGUGAGCUUCUUACUUACUGCUGGAUAAAAGUGCUAAUCGGUGGUCUCUACCAGCAGUUAAACUAAAACGAGCACAUUUCAUGUGGCAGCAGUACUGUAAUUAGCUCCCAGAUAAUAAAUUGGCCAUGUUGUAAACCUGCAGCCACUGCAAGAA